AGAGCCAACAUGCGGACCGUGAGGGUUUCCUGGCCCGCCCCCCGCCUGCAUCUCCAGCACCUGAGCUCAUCAAAACCGCCAGCAACAGGUGGCAUAAUGGUCGCACUGCCUCAUCUCAGAGCUGAUAUGAUGUCUCGGUUCCGGUCUUCCUUAGAGCCAGCAGACAGGGUGACCACGUUCUGGUACGGGAAGAAGAAGGGAUGAGCGCACCCUCGAUUCACUCUGCUCCACAGACAGUUCUGUCUUUAGAAGAGGAAGAUGAGGAUUGGAAAGUUCAGCUAAGUGUUCUCCAAAGCUGUUCCUUUUACUAUGCACUUAGGAGGACCGUCACCCAUCAUUAAGAUAGGACUCCUGCUGCCAUUGAUUAUCUCCAUAAAGUGUCAUCGAGACAUCCAACAUGGAUCCUUUAGGCUUUGAAUUGAUGCUGUGAUGUCAAGACCAUACUACCAAAAUGAAAUCUGCUCUUCAGAAGAUGUGUCAUUAGAUUGUUAACAACCCUU
rnacentral:lncRNA from 1 species